UCAGGGUACGCUCAGACCAGACCAUGCACAGUGGGCGAUUAAGACAUUGCUCUAACGGUGCAUGGACUGGCUAGAGUGUUCCUGG
rnacentral:pre_miRNA from 1 species